UAUUAUUGCCUCUAGGGCAUAUUUCCAACAGCGUCUUCUUGCCAUUCUCAACCUGGAAUAAACAUUAGAGCAACAGUCUCAUGUGGGAUCCAGGAAAAAGCACAUUCAUAAUUUUCUAGUUUCUCAUCAUGGAUGGUUCGAAAGCAACCGUCUUUUUCAAUAGCAACUAAAUUAAGAUUUACAUGUGGUUACCUACAAAUCAUGGACUAUGGGCUAGAAAAUAUGGCCCUUUUGUGUGUGACUCGGUUCCUAUAAAACAAAAUACGAUGUUAGGAAAAGCACAUUCAUACUAUUUCUAGUUUCUCGACAUGGAAGGUCCGAAAGCAACCGUCUUUUCCAAUAGCAACUAAAUUGAGAUUUACAGGUGGUUACUUACAAAUCAUGGACUAUGUGCCAGAAAAUCUGUCCCUUUUGUGUGUGACUCGGUUCCUAUAAAACAAAAUACAAUGUUGCAACACACUACUUGAGGUAAUAUGGGAAAUUGCUGAAAGAUGUCGUUAUGUCAGUCUAUGCUUGGCCAGUGUCACAAGACAAUAAUGGUGAGAUACUACCUAUGAAAAUACCUAUACUUCGUUGUGUCCAUAACAAUAAUGACUUGAUGGUAGACAGGGUUAGUGUUCUUCUGGCAUUAUAAACUGAAGGCGAAAGAGCAACAACUAAAGAACGGGAUUGAAGAUAUGAGAAGCGUACGAGCUUGGGGCAUGCUUGAAGAGCUCAAACGUGGCGAGAAUGGUCAUGGGAACCCUGAUGCCACCAUCUUGAUCCUCCAGCAACCUAGGGAUGAGGCCUUUGGUGAAGGGUUCAUAACUCUACCAGAACUUGAAAAAUCCCGAAUGGAUGCUCGUGUUCGCUGUCAUACUUGAAAAGAUUAGAUAAACCAUGUAAUCCUGAUCUUGGUUGGGCUCUUGAGAUCACAUAGACCAUGUUAGCAUUAGGUACAGUAGAGCUUACAGAGAAAUGAAAUAAGGUAACACAACAUGCUCAAUCAAUUUUCUGAUUUCCUCCGAACAAGAUACAACCUGCAUAGAUGUCAAAUCAAUAAAUUUUACUCUUAAAA
rnacentral:lncRNA from 1 species